CUCAGCCCUCUUUAGGGUCCAACUCUCACAUCCAUACAUGACUACUGGAAAAAUCAUAGCUUUGACUAUACAGACCUUUGUUGGCAAAGUAAUGUCUCUGCUUUUUAAUACGCUAUCU